GCUCCACAGGACGUGGGAUCUUCCUGGACCAGGGAUUGAACCUGUGUCCCCUGCAUUGGGAGGCAGAUUCUUAACCACUGCGCCACCAGGGAAGUCCAAAGGCAACAAAUUUCAACUCGCAUAGCUGUUUCAUUCAAUAGAGGUCUACAUAUUUCUAAAUAUCGUGCUUAUUCUGCUAGCUCUUGAGGUUUUUUUCUGAGUUUUAGAUAUCAUCUAUUGACUUUCAAUUUUGGCUUAUGAAGAUUUAACAACUCUCUCACACUCUCUCUUGCUUUUACUCCUGUCCAAGCAAACACAAAUACUGCCUCUUCCUUUCUUCCAGGACAUGGAUAACACACUUUUUUGGUUAAAUCAGCAUUCAAUGUUUUAGUUAAAAUGACUAUAUAAAAAAACACUUCACAGUUGGGUGCAAUGUUUACACUUCCUUUUUUUGUCCAAGUUUUGUUUUCCUUAGAAUUAAUGAUAGGAUUUGUCCAUGUACUUUUCAUUACAUCACUCUCAAAUGUCUCCCUCAAUACAUUCACAGUCAUCAGAUAAUCAAGGUAAUAAACAUCAGAUAAUCUAUAACUUUUUUUUCUUUCUUGGAGAGCCCUUGCCUAGAGCCCUUUAUACCCCUGUUCCAAUCUGGGCAGGUUACUAUGCCUGCUCUUUUUUUCUAAAAAGCUUUAACUACAUUUCCAGAUAAAUUUUAGAAUCUGAUUGCUAAUUUCUAUAAAAUGUCCUGCUGGGAUUUUGAUCUGCAUUAUGUUGAAUCUAUAGAUCAGUUUGGAAAAAGUUGACGUCUUAAUAACAUUCAGUCUUCCAAUCCAUGUGCAUGGCAGCUUUCUCCAAUUAUUAGGUCUUUUCUAUUUUGUCUUGGCUGUGUUUUGUAGUUUUCAGUACAUAGAUCUUGUACAUAUUUUGUUAGAUUUAUCUCUAAGUAUUUUAUGGUUGUUUAAAUGCUAUUAUAAAUGGUAUUUAAUUUUUAAAAAUUUUCCAGGUUUUUCUUAUUAUAGAGAAAUAUAAUUGAGUUAUGCAUAUUGACCUUGUAUUCUGGGAUCUUGGUAAAUUCACUUAUUAGUUCCAGUAGUUUUAUUUUUAAAGAUUCUUUUGGAUUUUGUGUGUACGCAAUCAUGUCACCUGAGAAUAAAGACAGUCAUUUCUUCCUUUUAUUUAUGCCUUUUAUUUACUUUUCUUGCCUUAUUUCACUGGCUAGGUCCUCCAGUACAAUGCAGAAUAGAAGUUGUAAGAGUUUGCCCUGUUCCUAGUCUUAGGGUAAAGCAUUCAGUCUUUCUCUAUUAGACAUCAUGUUAGCUAAAGAUUUUUCAUGGAGACCCUUUAUCAGGUUGAGGAAGUUCCUUUCAUGAGUGGGUGUUAAAUCUUCCUCUUUCUUUAAGGGCAUGGCCUCUGGAGCCAGACUACUGCUGCUUACAUGCUUUGUGACUAAGGGCAGAUCAUUUAACCUCCCUCUACUACCUUGUAAAAUGUGGAUAAUGAUGAUGUUCAGCUAAUUCCUAUGAGGAUUAAAUUAAAUGACCACACACACACACACACACACACACACACACACACACACCAUUUAGAAGAAUGUCUAUUAUACCACAGGUGCUAUAUAAAUGUGAACUAUCAUAAUUUUGGUUUACUCCUUUAUUUUGUUGUACUACUGGAUUUUUCUGAGAAAAGAUACAUAGUGGAUAACUUUUUAGAAAUCCUGAAUUUUCAGAAAAGGCUUUAUUCUACUCUCACAUGUGAUUGGUAUUCUGGCUGAGUAUUGAAUUCAAGGAUAGAAUUCAUUGUCCUUCAGGCUUUUCUUAAUUUCAUUUUGCAGGCUUUUCUUAAUCUCUUCUAGCUUGUAGGGUUGCUGUUGACACUUAUGAUGUUAUUCUAUUCUUAAUCUAUUUUAUGUGACUGAAUUUUCUCUUAGAAACUUUUAGGAUAUUCUCUUUAUCUUUUCAGUAUUAGAAUGCAGGAUGAUGUGCCUUGCUGGGGGUUCUUUUCUCAUUCAUUUUGUUGGGCACCUGGUGAGUGCUUUUAAUCUGGAAACUCAGGUUCUGUGAAAUUUUCUUGUAUUAUUUCUUUGAUAUUUUCCCUCUCACAUUUCCCAUUCUCUUUUUUUUCCCAGGAUUCCUUUUAUUUGACUGUUGAACCCCCAAGGUUGAUUUUCUAAUAUUUUUUCAAUUUUUCCUGUUUUUUUAAUCUUAAUCUUUUCACUUUCCAUGAAAUUACCCUUAACUUUAUUCCUCAGCUUUUUAAUUGGAACUUAAAAUUUCCACUAUCAUAUUUUAAAUUUCCAAUAGGCUUUUUUUGUUCUCUAAUGUUUCCUUUUAUGGCACUUCUUUUUUGCCUCAUGGAUGUAAUAUUUCCUUUUAUCUUUCUAAGAAUAUUAUGGUUUUUGUGAAGAUUUCUUUAACUCCCUUACUGUCUCUGUGUUUUUCUUUUAGUCUGAUAACUCAGUUACAACUUGACUUCUACUUUCUGACUUCCAUUAAAAAAAUCUCUUAUCUUUUAUUUUCCUUCACGUUCUCUUUUUUCUUGUACUGUGUGGGAAUAUGCCUUAAAUAAAAUCUCUUUAGUGUAAUUUGUAGUGGAUUUUUGAGAGGGAGCAGAUAUAAAAACAUUUCUCCAGUCCUCCAUUUUUGAUAUAAUAAGUCCCCUGGAUUUAAAAAACAUACUUAUUUUAAAGUCUCAUCCAGAUUGUCUUAUUUUAACUUUAGUUCCUCAGGUGUGAAUUCUCCUUUUUGUUAUGUUGGCUGACUGUUGAUUGUAGUUUUUAUUAGUUCUUUGUAAUAUUCGAUUAUGAGCUCAUCUAUCGAAGAGCACUUUUUUUUCCCAUGGGAGUCUUGCAUGUGUCUGGGAUUAUGAAGAAAUCUACACAGGGGCAGUGUCAUGGCUGUCCUUGCUGGGGCCCUACUGGGUCAUAUGGUUCAUAGCAUUUUUGGUAAUUUUUAUUGUUAUUUCUUUGUCCUAGGUUUCCACAUCAUCCCAAAGGGCAUAUUUGGAUCCUCACCAUUUUCUGCUCAGGACUUGUGGCUGAGCUGGAAUUGGCUGAGGGUGAAGGCCGGCUUGGCAACAUGGCCCGGGAGCCUCAAGGGAGCAGUUCCCUGACCAGAGAUUGAACCCACGAUCUCGGCAGUUAAAGCACC